rnacentral:rRNA from 1 species
UCAAAAACAUGUCUUUUUGAUCAUAAUUUAAAGUCUAAUCUGCCCACUGAUAUAAUUAUUAAAGGGCUGCAGUAUAUUGACUGUACAAAGGUAGCAUAAUCAUUAGUCUUUUAAUUGAAGACUUGUAUGAAAGAUUUGAUGAAAUAUAAACUGUCUCUAAAUUAAAAAUAAAAUUUAAUUUUUUAGUUAAAAAGCUAAAAUUUUAUUAAAAGACGAGAAGACCCUAUAAAGUUUUAUAAUUUAUUUAUUUAAUAUAAAAUAUAUAAUUAAAUAUAAUAAUUAAAUAAAUUAUUUUAUUGGGGUGAUAGAAAAAUUUAAUAAACUUUUUUUACAUAUAUAAACAUAAAUAAGUGAUAAAAUGAUCCAUUAUUAAUGAUUAAAAGAAAAAAUUACUUUAGGGAUAACAGCGUAAUAUUUUUUUUUAGUACAAAUAAAAAAAAAAGUUUGCGACCUCGAUGUUGGAUUAAGAUAAAAUUUAAAUGCAAAAGUUUAAAAUUUUAGAUCUGUUCGAUCAUUAAAAUCUUACAUGAUCUGAGCU